UGGGGAAUUUUGGACAAUGGGGGCAACCCUGAUCCAGCAAUGCCGCGUGAGUGAAGAAGGCCUUCGGGUUGUAAAGCUCUUUUGUCAGGGAAGAAACGGUAGUAGCGAAUAACUAUUACUAAUGACGGUACCUGAAGAAUAAGCACCGGCUAACUACGUGCCAGCAGCCGCGGUAAUACGUAGGGUGCAAGCGUUAAUCGGAAUUACUGGGCGUAAAGCGUGCGCAGGCGGUUGUGUAAGUCAGAUGUGAAAUCCCCGGGCUCAACCUGGGAAUUGCAUUUGAGACUGCACGGCUAGAGUGUGUCAGAGGGGGGUAGAAUUCCACGUGUAGCAGUGAAAUGCGUAGAUAUGUGGAGGUAUACCGAUGGCGAAGGCAGCCCCCUGGGAUAACACUGACGCUCAUGCACGAAAGCGUGGGGAGCAAACAGGAUUAGAUACCCCCGUAGUCCCUGAGCGGGCUGGCAAGGCGCAU
rnacentral:rRNA from 1 species